ACCGGCGCACGGGUGAGUAACACGUAUGCAACCUGUCCGGUACAGGGGGAUAAGCGGCGGAAACGCCGUCUAAUACCGCGUGACAACCCGAGGGGGCAUCCCCUUGGGUUCAAAGGAGAGAUCCGGUACCGGCUGGGCAUGCGGCGCAUUAGCUAGUUGGCGGGGCAACGGCCCACCAAGGCGACGAUGCGUAGGGGUUCUGAGAGGAAGGUCCCCCACACUGGAACUGAGACACGGUCCAGACUCCUACGGGAGGCAGCAGUGAGGAAUAUUGGUCAAUGGGCGCAAGCCUGAACCAGCCAAGUCGCGUGAGGGAAGACGGCCCUACGGGUUGUAAACCUCUUUUGCCGGGGAGCAAGCCUGAGCACGUGUGCCCAGGCGGAGAGUACCCGGAGAAAAAGCAUCGGCUAACUCCGUGCCAGCAGCCGCGGUAAUACGGAGGAUGCGAGCGUUAUCCGGAUUUAUUGGGUUUAAAGGGUGCGCAGGCGGGCUGUUAAGCCGGCGGUAAAAAUUCAGGGCUCAACCCUGUCGAGCCGUCGGAACUGGCAGUCUUGAGUGGGCGAGAAGUAUGCGGAAUGCGUGGUGUAGCGGUGAAAUGCGUAGAUAUCACGCANAACGCCGAUUGCGAAGGCAGCAUACCGGCGCCCAACUGACGCUGAGGCACGAAAGCGUGGGGAUCGAACAGGAUUAGAUACCCUGGUA
rnacentral:rRNA from 1 species